UUUGACCUCAAAUCAGGUAGGACUACCCGCUGAACUUAAGCAUAUCAAUAAGCGGAGGAAAAGAAACUAACAAGGAUUCCCCUAGUAACUGCGAGUGAAGCGGGAAAAGCUCAAAUUUGAAAUCUGGCAGUCUUUUUUUUCUUCUUUGGCUGUCCGAGUUGUAAUCUAGAGAAGUGCUUACCUGCACUGGACCAUGUAUAAGUCUCCUGGAAUGGAGCCUCACAGAGGGUGAGAAUCCCGUCUUUGACAUGGACUGCCAGUGUGUUGUGGUGCGCUCUCAAAGAGUCGAGUUGUUUGGGAAUGCAGCUCUAAAUGGGUGGUAAACUCCAUCUAAAGCUAAAUAUUGGCGAGAGACCGAUAGCGAACAAGUACCGUGAGGGAAAGAUGAAAAGGACUUUGGAAAGAGAGUUAAACAGUAUGUGAAAUUGUUGAAAGGGAAACGCUUGAAGUCAGUUAUGUCGGCUAGGGAUCAACCUAGCUAUUCUUUGGCUGGGUGAAUUUCCUGGUCUGACAGGCCAACAUCAGUCUUGACUGCCGGAAAAGAGCGGAGGGAAUGUGGCACCUUUGGGUGUGUUAUAGCCCUCUGUCAUAUGCGCCGGUUGGGACUGAGGGAUGCAGCGUGCCGCGAGGCUGGGUUUUGACCACGUUCACGCUUAGGAUGUUGGCUUUUAAUGGCUCCAAUCGACCCGUCUUGAAACACGGACCAAGGAGUCUAACAUGCCUGCGAGUGUUUGGGUGGAAAACCCUUGUGCACAAUGAAAGUGAAAGUUGAGAUCCCUGUCAUGGGGAGCAUCGACGCCCGGACUUGAGCUUUUAGCGAUGGAUCCGCGGUAGAGCAUGCAUGUUGGGACCCGAAAGAUGGUGAACUAUGCCUGAAUAGGGCAAAGCCAGAGGAAACUCUGGUGGAGGCUCGUAGCGAUUCUGACGUGCAAAUCGAUCGUCAAAUUUGGGUAUAGGGGCGAAAGA
rnacentral:rRNA from 1 species